rnacentral:misc_RNA from 1 species
GUGAAUCAUCAAAUUUUUGAACGCAAAUUGCACUCUCUGGUAUUCCGGAAAGUAUGCCUGUUUGAGGGUCAGUUAAAUAAAAAUCGGCGUCGUUGCUGCGUCACGUGGUGAAGCGUCGGAAUUGGGUAGUCUUACGUUCGGUUAAGUGACUUAAAAUUUUUGCAUGAUUUUCGAACGUAUUUAAAUUGCUUACGUAGGUUUGAGAUAACGAAU